UCCGGUUUGACACCGGCAGUCUCGUUAGAGUCCCCGACAUGACUCGCUGGCAACUAACGACAGGGGUUUCGCUCGUUGAGGGACUUAACCCGACACUUCACAGCACGAGCUGACGACAGCCAUGCAGCACCUGUGUACGUUCCACGGUAAACCGCGUCACAUAUGUUUCCAUAUGCUAAUCCGUACAUGUCAAGCCCAGGAUAAGGUUCUUCGCGUUGCUUCGAAUUAAGCCACAUGCUCCACCGCUUGUGUGAGCCCCCGUCAAUUCCUUUGAGUUUUAGCCUUGCGACCGUACUCCCCAGGCGGUGCACUUAACACUUUUGCUUCGACCCGGAGGGUAUCAGAACCUCCCUGAUCUAGUGCACAUCGUUUAGGGCGUGGACUA
rnacentral:misc_RNA from 1 species